rnacentral:rRNA from 1 species
AGGUGUAAUUUAGUUCUAAAUGGAGAUCAGUAUUACUGUGAAUUGAUCUUGAGGUCAUUAAGGUCUUGAUUGAAAACAGGAUUAGAUACCCUGGUAUCCUUGAUUUAAAUUCUUCAAACUAAAGUAGUAACCAGUUAUUAUCUUGAAACUUAAAGGAUUUGGCGGUGUCUUAGUCUAGUUAGAGGAACCUGUUCUGUGAUCGAUGCGCCACGAAGUAUCUCACUUCAUCUUGUAAGGUUUAACAGCCUGUAUACCGCCAUUAUCAGGCAAUCUCAAUAGAGAUGUGUUUAAAUAAAUAAAAAAUUUAGAAAAUUAGGUCAAGGUGCAGCUUAUGAUGAAGGUUGAAAUGGGUUACAAUUUAACAUUGGAAAAACGGAUUAGGACUUGAAAUAGUUUUAUGAAGGUGGAUUUAAAAGUAAGGUUUGUUUAACAUGCAAAUCUGAUUAUCAGCUCUAAGGCGCGUA